rnacentral:rRNA from 1 species
AUGCUGCACGAGCUCGAGCACCCACGGGCAGAGGAGGCUAUCCACGAAUCUGAUCCCGACGAGUGUGUAGUCCAUGUCAAGAAAGCAGAGUUUCACAUGUCAAGAAUGCUGCACGAGCACCCUGCAGAGGAGGCUGAUACCAGCUUGAGCGGAGAGCUGCUAGACCAGUACGAGCACCCUGAUGCAGAGGAGGCCGAUGCUGCCAAGGACAUCCAUGAAUAUGAUCCUGACGAGUGUGUAGUUGAUGUCAAGACAGCAGAGUGGCACAUACAAGAUAGACAUGAAGCGAAACUUUUGAUCGAACAGCUGAAUCAAUCAGGUCUGGGAGAGGAUAUCAGCAAUCAGGAGUUCCUUGCUUACUUUAACAAGCUGGCUCGCAGGCCUCCGUGGUUUAAUCUUAAAGCUGGGCUGGAAGAAAAGGAUCUCGAUCAGCAACUCAUUGACCAUGCACUGUUCCGUUUCAGAUAUUACAAAUACAAGUUGACACAGCCCAAGGAAGAGCUGCAUGCUGGUAACCUUCUUGAGGAAGGAGAGGACGAUAAGGAAGAAAGGGAAUAUUUAGCUAUGUUGAAAGAGAAGCAACUUCUAUACCAUGAGGAAGGUGACACUACAUCGGAAGAGGAUGAAACUGAGGCUGAUAACCUUAUGGAUAAAAAUGAGGCUGAUUUUAAUCUGGAGUUUCUUGAGGAGAACAGAUUUUUCAUUAGCUUUGAAAAAGACGGAACACUCGAUUGGUUUUUCCACCCUGCUUACUGCGAAUGUGCUUCCCUGAGUGACUACGAACGGCUAGUCCUUCAAAAUUAUGGCGGUACUGAGUACACCCGGUGGAGUUACUACCACAGCUACCUUCAUAGCUAUGAUGUUGAACAAGAGUACGUCAAGUACUGUGAGGAAUUAUCCAAGCAACUGAAGUGGAUGGAAGAUUAUAUCGAUAUUGACCCCUCAUCUAUCAAAUGGGAUUACGUAUCUUCCCGGGGAGCUUAUCAAGCAAUUAAGAUUGCUGCUACAAGCUUUCCCAAGAUCACUCCGAUUUUGGCUUACAAUGGCUACGAUGAGUGUAAAGAGAGCAUGGGCUAUCAUCAUAUAUAUUUGAAGGAGUAUGAUGGUUUGUAUUUUGGAUUUGGCAGCGGGUCAAAAAGGGGAUGGUUUCCGUUACGGCAAAGUUUAAUGCAAAUAGCACUGGGCAAUGAGUUCACCAUGACGUCACUGGAAAAGGACUUCCGAACCUGCACGGCAGCCAUUCGACCUGGAGUUGAAGAGGAUGAAGCCAAGGAGUUGAUUGCAGACACAGUAAAAAAGCGGGUUGAUAAGCCAAAGUUCUAUGAUGAUUAUAUCAGAAAAAAGAUAGAGAUCGCACACAUUGUUGGAAUCCUUCCAUCCGAGAAGACCAAGACUGACGCAACAGUAUAA